ensembl:lncRNA
GUUAUAUUUGUUUUUAAAUAUUUGGAAGAUAAUGUUAAUAAGUUACCUUUCUGCACUUGUUUUUAUGUCGGUCAACAGCAUUUACAGUAGCUGGAAAUAAAAUCACAAAAAUGCAGGACAUUGAAAGUUUGAAAUUAAUAUCUGUAAUUUAUGCUGACAAACACUACCUGUUUCUAUUAUUGUUGCGGUUUUAAUACAUUUAAGGACAACGUAAGACACACCCUAACAGCUCAAAAGUAUUUAACUAUGUUGAAUGAUUAUUAUUGCAGGUGACUUUCCUGAUGGUGAGGUGAAUGAAUGUGAAGCAGCGUAUGUAUAACAGGUUUCUUUUUUUAAAGGAGUGGUUCACUUCCAGAACAAAAAUUUACAGAUCAUGUACUCGCCUCCUUGUCAACCAAGAUGUUCAUUAAUAAGUUUUCUUUUCCCCUGCAGAUGAUCUUCCUCCUCUUCCCCAUGUGUCCAAAAAAGUUCAGAAGAAUGUGAAUUCUGUUUGGGGAAACUGAUUUACAUGAUGAAAUUCUAUUCGCCAAACAAAAAGAAAAUUUGCUGAAAUCCAACCCAAAUCCCCCAGUUGUGACCCAGCAUCUCCCAUGGCUAGAGGAGAUGAUGGGAGAAGAGGUGGACACACAUGUAGGGGGGAACAGUGAAAUAUGUGAAAGGGAGGACACAAGUUGGGGAGGCAAGUGACUUCCUUGACAAAACUAAAAAAAAAUCUGAGAAAGACAACAGGGAUCUCAGACAACAGGUUUCUUUGUUGAGAAAAAGGAUAAAGUUCCUGGAAAACCGGAAGGCUACUCAAGUAAUUAGAAAUAAAUAUGAAAAGAAAAAGCAGCACACAUCACAGAACCAAUUUGAUACAAAAGCAAAGAUGACUUUCAGUGUUCCAUCUGUGAUCGCCCCUGUAAAAGGCUGGAUAGACAUUUGGUUGUAAUUCAUCAUCUUA